rnacentral:rRNA from 1 species
GACGAACGCUGGCGGCGUGCUUAACACAUGCCAGUCGAACGAAGAGCGACGGAAGCUUGCUUCUAUCAAUCUUAGUGGCGAACGGGUGAGUAACGCGUAAUCAACCUGCCCUUCAGAGGGGGACAACAGUUGGAAACGACUGCUAAUACCGCAUACGAUCUAACCUCGGCAUCGAGGAUAGAUGAAAGGUGGCCUCUACAUGUAAGCUAUCACUGAAGGAGGGGAUUGCGUCUGAUUAGCUAGUUGGAGGGGUAACGGCCCACCAAGGCGAUGAUCAGUAGCCGGUCUGAGAGGAUGAACGGCCACAUUGGGACUGAGACACGGCCCAGACUCCUACGGGAGGCAGCAGUGGGGAAUCUUCCGCAAUGGACGAAAGUCUGACGGAGCAACGCCGCGUGAGUGAUGACGGCCUUCGGGUUGUAAAGCUCUGUUAAUCGGGAUGAAAGGCCUUCUUGCGAAUAGUGAGAAGGAUUGACGGUACCGGAAUAGAAAGCCACGGCUAACUACGUG